rfam:Gossypium hirsutum cultivar TM-1 chromosome 12, whole genome shotgun sequence
AUUCCGUGAUGAGGGCAUUUCCUUAGUAGUUAUUUGUAUCGUUCCCACGCCUCAUACAAGGAUUCAUCAUCCAUUUGUUGGAAGGCAGAGAUCUCGUUCCUCAAUUU